rnacentral:tRNA from 1 species
GCCUGGGUGGCUCAGUCGGUUAAGCGUCUGACUUUGGCUCAGGUCAUGAUCUCACUGUUUGUGAGUUCGAGCCCCACAUCGGGCU